UACGGAGGGUGCAAGCGUUGCUCGGAAUUAUUGGGCGUAAAGGGCAGGUAGGUGGUCUCAUUUGUCUGGGGUGAAAUCCUUGGGCUUAACUCAAGAAGUGCCCCAGAAACGGUGAGACUGGAGUCCUAGAGAGGGUCGUGGAAUUCCCGGUGUAGCGGUGAAAUGCGUAGAGAUCGGGAGGAACACCAGAGGCGAAAGCGGCGACCUGGAUAGGUACUGACACUCAACUGCGAAAGCGUGGGGAGCAAACAGG
rnacentral:rRNA from 1 species